rnacentral:rRNA from 1 species
AAUGAACGCUGGCGGCGUGCCUAAUACAUGCAAGUCGAGCGAACGCACGAGAAGCUUUCUUCUCUGAUUUUAUCGGCGGACGGGUGAGUAACACAUGGUUAACCUACCUAUAAGACUGGGAUAACUUCGGCAAACCGUAGCUAAUAACGGAUAAUAUUUUGAACCUCAUUGUUCAAGAGUGAAAUACGGUCUUUCUUUCACUUAUAGAUUGAUCCGCGCUGCAUUAAUUAGUUGGUAAGGUAACGGCUUACCAAGGCAACGAUGCAUACCCGACCUGAGGGGGUGAUCGGCCACCUUGGAACAGAGACAGGGCACACACUCCGACGGGAGGCAGCAGUAGGGAAUCUUCCGCAAUGGACGAAAGCCUGAUGGAGGACCGCCGCGUGAGUGCUGAUGGUCUUCGGCUCGUAAAACUCUGUUAGUAGGGAAGAACAUAUGUGUAAGUAACUGUGCUCAUCUUGACGGUACCUAAUCAGAAAGCUACGGCUAACUACGUG